rnacentral:rRNA from 1 species
UACGUAGGGUGCAAGCGUUAAUCGGAAUUACUGGGCGUAAAGCGUGCGCAGGCGGUUCGGAAAGAAAGAUGUGAAAUCCCAGGGCUUAACCUUGGGACUGCAUUUUUAACUGCCGGGCUAGAGUAUGUCAGAGGGGGGUAGAAUUCCACGUGUAGCAGUGAAAUGCGUAGAGAUGUGGAGGAAUACCGAUGGCGAAGGCAGCCCCCUGGGAUAAUACUGACGCUCAUGCACGAAAGCGUGGGGAGCAAACAGG